rnacentral:misc_RNA from 1 species
GAAAAGCAUAUUUUCUCUCUCUUAUUGAAAGAGACCAUCAUCCCACCACAAUCCAACAAAAGCCUAAAAAUAAGGUACUAGCAACAACUGCUAUAACAACAAAGCAUCAGAAAACAGCCUCAUCCCAUUUUUCUCUUUGCAUUGCUUUUCCAGCAAAGCCUAACUACAAAGGCCGCAACCCAUUCUCAUUGAUUUCACCAUCGAACUUCUCUCUCUGUAAAGAAGGCACAUUCUCUCUACACAGAGCCUAAAUAACAAAGAAGGUAGAAACGUGGAAACUCCACGCACCACCCUUCCAUCAAAAACAAAGAAGAGUCACACCACCCAACUCUCUCUCUCUCUCUCU